AAAAAGGUUUUUUUUAAAACCAUUACCUUCUGCCUUAGAAUCAAUA
rfam:Monodelphis domestica chromosome 2, whole genome shotgun sequence.